CUUGAUCGACUGACUGAUCAUGAAUAGUAACCAUUACUAUUUGGCCUGAGACAACUGGGUCGGAUCAGUCAGCACUGAACCGAUUAAAGCAGGGGACUGGAUCGACUCAGUUCAAAACUAGUCGGCUCAGUUGGUGUACCAACAAGUAUCACAUAGUUUUAGAUCUGAAAAUUCUCACAUAAAUUGAAAUAAAAUUAAUCAUAACAAACUUUAGAUCAUAUCUAAAUAUUUUAUGAUUUUAAAUUUUAUUUUUUCAUGAUUAAAAUAAUUUUAAUCAUAC
rnacentral:lncRNA from 1 species